UCUUGUCCAGAUGACCCCAAAUCCAUGGGGUGACUUCCCAAGGUGAGGUUACCCAUCCCAAAAUCCAUGGGGUGACCUCCCAGGUGAGGCUACCCAUUUCUUUAAGGGUUCCUUCUCCUCCAGAUGACCCCAAAUCCACGAGGUGACUUCCCAGGUGAAGUUACCCAUCCCAAAAUCCAUGGCGUGACUUCCCAGGUAAGGUUGCCACCUCUCCAAGGGUCUCCUCAUCCUCCAGAUGACCCCAAAUCCAUGGAGAGACCUCCCAGGUGCUGUUACACCUCCUAAAAUCCUUGAGGUGACCUCCCAGGUGAGGUUACCCAUUUCCCAAAAGGUUCCUUCUCCUCCAUAGGACCUCAAAUCCAUGGGGUGACCUCCCAGAUGGG